AGGGAAUCUUCGGCAAUGGACGGAAGUCUGACCGAGCAACGCCGCGUGAGUGAAGAAGGUUUUCGGAUCGUAAAGCUCUGUUGUAAGAGAAGAACGAGUGUGAGAGUGGAAAGUUCACGCUGUGACGGUAUCUUACCAGAAAGGGACGGCUAACUACGUGCCAGCAGCCGCGGUAAUACGUAGGUCCCGAGCGUUGUCCGGAUUUAUUGGGCGUAAAGCGAGCGCAGGCGGUUAGAUAAGUCUGAAGUUAAAGGCUGUGGCUUAACCAUAGUACGCUUUGGAAACUGUUUAACUUGAGUGCAAGAGGGGAGAGUGGAAUUCCAUGUGUAGCGGUGAAAUGCGUAGAUAUAUGGAGGAACACCGGUGGCGAAAGCGGCUCUCUGGCUUGUAACUGACGCUGAGGCUCGAAAGCGUGGGGAGCAAACAGGAUUAGAUACCCUGGUAGUCCACGCCGUAAACGAUGAGUGCUAGGUGUUAGACCCUUUCCGGGGUUUAGUGCCGCAGCUAACGCAUUAAGCACUCCGCCUGGGGAGUACGACCGCAAGGUUG
rnacentral:rRNA from 1 species